GACGGAGGGUGCAAGCGUUGCUCGGAAUCAUUGGGCGUAAAGGGUGCGUAGGCGGCUUCUCAAGUCUGGCGUGAAAGCCCAGGGCUUAGCCUUGGAAGGGCGCUAGAAACUGGGGAGCUAGAGUGCCGGAGGGGAGAGUGGAAUUCCCGGUGUAGCGGUGAAAUGCGUAGAUAUCGGGAGGAAUACCGGUGGCGAAAGCGACUCUCUGGACGGUGACUGACGCUGAGGCACGAAAGCGUGGGGAGCAAACAGG
rnacentral:rRNA from 1 species